rnacentral:rRNA from 1 species
UACGUGUGGUCCUAGCGUUGUCCGGAAUAACUGGGCGUAAAGGGUGUGUAGGCGGACAUCCGUGUCAGGUGUGAAAUCCCCCGGCUUAACUGGGGCAUUGCGCUUGAAACUGGAUGUCUGGAGCGUGUCAGGGGUAAGCGGAAUUCCCGGAGUAGCGGUGAAAUGCGUAGAUAUCGGGAAGAACACCGGUGGCGAAGGCGGCUUACUGGGGCAUAGCUGACGCUGAGGCACGAAAGCGUGGGGAGCGAACGGG